AUUUGUUAUUGUGUCUUGAAUAGGAAGAAAAUAUACUAUAACGGCUUGGAUCAUAAUCAAGCAAUUAAUGCGUCACGAUAUUGGCAACAAAAAUCGCAUAGGAAAGGUUGGAUAAAAAGAACUACGUUCUCAAAUUUUGUUGAACUUUAGAUAGAAAAUCCUUAAACAAUUAUUUAUAAUGUAUUUUACUGCAUUAAUGCGAAUCUUAAGACAAACGUUUUAUUUAUUCGCAGUUAGUUUUGCUAAAACUAGUGUUGCUUUUAUGCUAUUUAUAUCAGUUUUUAUGGUAUUAAUACCAAUUAAUGAGAUGCAUAUUGAAUCUGAUAUAAGUAAUAACAUUCGGAUCAUUAAAUUGAAAGAUAAUCUGAAAGAUGUGCCAAAAACACGUUCAAUCUGGAUGAAAAAUUUAGAAAAAAUAAUAUAUACAAUAACAUAUUUAUUGGGCCUUAUUAAUUAUUGCCUAAUAAUUUAUUUAAUUACUUUUAAUUGCCUGUUUUUUAUUUACAUUUUGUGGUAUAUAUGCACUAGACAUGGUCGUAGGUUACGAAAUGGUUUUUUUCGGAUCCUUAUCGACAAUUAUGUUGUGCCAAAUCAUUAACCUCCUAGAGACAAUGACCAUUAGCAUAUCCGUUAACGAAAUAAUAGAAUUUAUUGAAAUAACGAUACAACAAAAUACAAUAUAAAUAUAAUAGAAAUAGAAUAUAAACGCUAAAUCAUAUGCAGAAUUUAU